UCAUUGGCCUUUCAAUCAAAGGCUAGUAUGAAUGGACACACGUAAGCUAAGCUGUCUCAUUAACAACCAUAAAAAUUAACCUUUGGGUGAAGAGACCCAAAUUAUAUAAAAAGACGAAAAGACCCUAUGGAGCUUUACUUAAAUAGAAAACCUAAUAAAUUACAUAAAAAAAAACUUCUUUAUAAAGUUUAGUUGGGGCGACUAAGGAGCACAAAAAAUCCUCCUUUUAAUAAAAGAAAAUAACUCUUCUACAGAUCCACCUAAGUGAAUAUAAAACCAGCUACCCUAGGGAUAACAGGCUAAUCCUCCUCGAGAGCCCAAAUUGACAGGAGGGGUUGGCACCUCGAUGUUGGCUUAAGGUUCCUUCAAAGUGCAGCAGCUUUGAGAGUAGGUUUGUUCACCCUUUAAAACCUU
rnacentral:rRNA from 1 species